CUUUCUUUUUGGCAGUCAAUAGCUGUUGGUACAGUAUGUGUUUGAUCGUGGUUUGGCUGGACCAGUCGACCUUUGUCUAGCGCUUUAAUGUAAAAAGAAUGAAGCAUCUAACAAGGAAAAUAAAUGGAUUGGUUAUAGCUGUGAAAAAA